ensembl:misc_RNA 7SK 7SK RNA
GGAUGUGAGGGCCAUCUGGCUGCGACAUCUGUCACCCCAUUGAUCGCCAGGGUUGGUUCCGCUGAUCUGGCUGGCUAGGCGGGUGUCCCCUUCCUCCUCACCGCUCCACGUGCGUCCCUCCCGAAGCUGCGCGCUGGGUGGAAGAGGAUGACCUUCCCGGAUAGAGGUGGACUGUUCUUCCGUCAAGGGUAUAAGAGUAGCUGCGCUCCCCUGCUAGAACCUCCAAACAAGCUCUCAGGGUCCUAUGUAUGUUUUGCUGUGCAGAUUUAAAAACAAAACAAAACAAAACUGAAUUUGAUUAAUUUUCUUU